rnacentral:rRNA from 1 species
UACGUAGGGGGCAAGCGUUGUCCGGAUUUAUUGGGCGUAAAGAGCGUGUAGGCGGUUUGGUAGGUCCGCUGUGAAAACUCGAGGCUCAACCUCGAGACGCCGGUGGAAACCAUCAGACUAGAGUCCGGAAGAGGAGAGUGGAAUUCCUGGUGUAGCGGUGAAAUGCGCAGAUAUCAGGAGGAACACCGGUGGCGAAGGCGGGUCUCUGGGCCAAAACUGACGCUGAGGAGCGAAAGCGUGGGGAGCGAACAGG